rnacentral:rRNA from 1 species
GACGAACGCUGGCGGCGUGCCUAAUACAUGCAAGUAGAACGCUGAAGGAGGAGCUUGCUUCUCCGGAUGAGUUGCGAACGGGUGAGUAACGCGUAGGUAACCUGCCUGGUAGCGGGGGAUAACUAUUGGAAACGAUAGCUAAUACCGCAUAACAGUAGAUAUCGCAUGAUAGCUGCUUGAAAGGUGCAAUUGCACCACUACCAGAUGGACCUGCGUUGUAUUAGCUAGUUGGUGAGGUAACGGCUCACCAAGGCAACGAUACAUAGCCGACCUGAGAGGGUGAUCGGCCACACUGGGACUGAGACACGGCCCAGACUCCUACGGGAGGCAGCAGUAGGGAAUCUUCGGCAAUGGACGGAAGUCUGACCGAGCAACGCCGCGUGAGUGAAGAAGGUUUUCGGAUCGUAAAGCUCUGUUGUAAGAGAAGAACGAGUGUGAGAGUGGAAAGUUCACACUGUGACGGUAUCUUACCAGAAA